ACAUGCAGUCGAGCGGUAGAGAGAAGCUUGCUUCUCUUGAGAGCGGCGGACGGGUGAGUAAUGCCUAGGAAUCUGCCUGGUAGUGGGGGAUAACGUUCGGAAACGGACGCUAAUACCGCAUACGUCCUACGGGAGAAAGCAGGGGACCUUCGGGCCUUGCGCUAUCAGAUGAGCCUAGGUCGGAUUAGCUAGUUGGUGGGGUAAUGGCUCACCAAGGCGACGAUCCGUAACUGGUCUGAGAGGAUGAUCAGUCACACUGGAACUGAGACACGGUCCAGACUCCUACGGGAGGCAGCAGUGGGGAAUAUUGGACAAUGGGCGAAAGCCUGAUCCAGCCAUGCCGCGUGUGUGAAGAAGGUCUUCGGAUUGUAAAGCACUUUAAGUUGGGAGGAAGGGCAGUAAAUUAAUACUUUGCUGUUUUGACGUUACCGACAGAAUAAGCACCGGCUAACUCUGUGCCAGCAGCCGCGGUAAUACAGAGGGUGCAAGCGUUAAUCGGAAUUACUGGGCGUAAAGCGCGCGUAGGUGGUUCGUUAAGUUGGAUGUGAAAUCCCCGGGCUCAACCUGGGAACUGCAUUCAAAACUGUCGAGCUAGAGUAUGGUAGAGGGUGGUGGAAUUUCCUGUGUAGCGGUGAAAUGCGUAGAUAUAGGAAAGGAACACCAGU
rnacentral:rRNA from 1 species